GAAAUUGGCCAUGUGGGCGUAUCUGUGUCACAGAAAUAGAUAAAUGCUACAUAUUUUUUCUUUCUUUUUUUUUAUUUUUCCAGAGAGCCAACUGUUACACAUUAACUAGCACACCACUGGAGUCAGCCCAACAAAUGAUUGGAAUCAGUUCCUGGUGUCCUUGCCAAAGCAUCGAGUUUUAAAUCACAGAUGACUGCCCCUGUGCCAACGAAUUCUUCUCCAGCCACCCAUCUAGCGUUAUGCUCCUUCGCCACCACACUGCGAAGAACCAGCGUCACCUGUGUUCCUUCAGCUCCUGCUGGCACACAUUAGCUUUGCAAUUCCUUUGGAGAACAGGACAGUUCUGACCAGAGCUGAGCAUAUGCCUCUCUGCUCUAGCUACGGUGAAGCCUGCCCCUGGAUGUUGGCAUCAAGGAGCAGUGGUGAGGGCAGGUCUUGAGAACAAACACCUUGCAGGACACCUACCACAGGAAGCACCACCCAAUGCCUUGCUCUCUGGCUGCACCCAUCAUAACUGACCACAGGUGAAAACUCCAGUAAUCAUAACGCCACUGUGUGAUGAACGGUCACCAGCGGUCAGCAAACUUUUUCUGUAAAAGGACAGAUACCCACAAGCCAUGGAAGAACAGGCCAUAGUUUGCUGACCCCUGGUCAUUACAAUCCCACUUACCAGAGGUAUGGAGACCCUGUGA
rnacentral:lncRNA from 1 species